CUUAAGCAUAUCAAUAAGCGGAGGAAAAGAAACCAACAGGGAUUGACCUCAGUAACGGCGAGUGAAGCGGCAACAGCUCAAAUUUGAAAUCUGGCCCUAGGCCCGAGUUGUAAUUUGCAGAGGAUGCUUUUGGUGCGGUGCCUUCCAAGUUCCCUAGAACGGGACGCCAGAGAGGGUGAGAGCCCCGUACAGUUGGACACCAAGCCUUUGUAAAGCUCCUUCGACGAGUCGAGUAGUUUGGGAAUGCUGCUCAAAAUGGGAGGUAUAUUUCUUCUAAAGCUAAAUACCGGCCAGAGACCGAUAGCGCACAAGUAGAGUGAUCGAAAGAUGAAAAGCACUUUGAAAAGAGGGUUAAACAGCACGUGAAAUUGUUAAAAGGGAAGCGCUUGUGACCAGACUUGCGUCCGGUGAAUCACCCAGCUCUCGCGGCUGGGGCACUUCGCCGGCUCAGGCCAGCAUCAGCUCGCUGUCGGGGACAAAAGCUUCAGGAACGUAGCUCUCUUCGGGGAGUGUUAUAGCCUGUUGCAUAAUACCCUUCGGCGGGCUGAGGUACGCGCUCCGCAAGGAUGCUGGCAUAAUGGUCAUCAGCGACCCGUCUUGAAACACGGACCAAGGAGUCAACCUUAUGUGCGAGUGUUCGGGUGUCAAACCCCUACGCGUAAUGAAAGUGAACGCAGGUGAGAGCUUCGGCGCAUCAUCGACCGAUCCUGAUGUUCUCGGAUGGAUUUGAGUAAGAGCAUAUAGGGUUGGACCCGAAAGAAGGUGAACUAUGCGUGUAUAGGGUGAAGCCAGAGGAAACUCUGGUGGAGGCUCGCAGCGGUUCUGACGUGCAAAUCGAUCGUCAAAUAUGCGCAUGGGGGCGAAAGACUAAUCGAACCUUCUAGUAGCUGGUUUCCGCCGAA
rnacentral:rRNA from 1 species